rnacentral:rRNA from 1 species
CGGACGGGUGAGUAACGCGUGAGAAUCUGGCUCCAGGUCGGGGAUAACAGUUGGAAACGACUGCUAAUACCGGAUGUGCCGAAAGGUGAAAGAUUUAUUGCCUGGAGAUGAGCUCGCGUCUGAUUAGCUAGUUGGUGGUGUAAGGGACCACCAAGGCAUCGAUCAGUAGCUGGUCUGAGAGGAUGAUCAGCCACACUGGGACUGAGACACGGCCCAGACUCCUACGGGAGGCAGCAGUGGGGAAUUUUCCGCAAUGGGCGAAAGCCUGACGGAGCAAUACCGCGUGAGGGAGGAAGGCUCUUGGGUCGUAAACCUCUUUUCUCAAGGAAGAAGAAAGUGACGGUACUUGAGGAAUAAGCAUCGGCUAACUCCGUGCCAGCAGCCGCGGUAAUACGGAGGAUGCAAGCGUUAUCCGGAAUGAUUGGGCGUAAAGGGUCUGCAGGUGGAACUGAAAGUCUGCUGUUAAAGAGUUUGGCUUAACCAAAUAAAAGCGGUGGAAACUACAGAACUAGAGUGUGGUAGGGGCAAAAGGAAUUCCUGGUGUAGCGGUGAAAUGCGUAGAUAUCAGGAAGAACACCGGUGGCGAAAGCGUUUUGCUAGACCAUAACUGACACUGAGGGACGAAAGCUAGGGGAGCGAAUGGGAUUAGAUACCCCAGUAGUC